rnacentral:rRNA from 1 species
GACGAACGCUGGCGGCGUGCUUAACACAUGCAAGUCGAACGGAAAGGCCCUGCUUUUGUGGGGUGCUCGAGUGGCAAACGGGUGAGUAACACGUGAGUAACCUGCCCUUGACUUUGGGAUAACUUCAGGAAACUGGGGCUAAUACCGGAUAGGAGCUCCUGCUGCAUGGUGGGGGUUGGAAAGUUUCGGCGGUUGGGGAUGGACUCGCGGCUUAUCAGCUUGUUGGUGGGGUAGUGGCUUACCAAGGCUUUGACGGGUAGCCGGCCUGAGAGGGUGACCGGCCACAUUGGGCCUACGAUACGGACCAGACUCCUACGGGAGGCAGCAGUGGGAAGUAUUGCACAAUGGGCGGAAGCCUGAUGCAGCAACGCCGCGUGCGGGAUGCCGGCCUUCGGGUUGUAAACCGCUUUCGCCUGUGACGAAGCGUGAGUGACGGUAAUGGGUAAAGAAGCACCGGCUAACUACGUG